rnacentral:rRNA from 1 species
UACGGGGGGGGCAAGCGUUGUUCGGAAUUACUGGGCGUAAAGGCUCGUAGGCGGCCAACUAAGUCAUACGUGAAAUCCCUCGGCUUAACCGGGGAACUGCGUCUGAUACUGGAUGGCUUGAGAUUGGGAGAGGGAUGCGGAAUUCCAGGUGUAGCGGUGAAAUGCGCAGAUAUCGGGAGGAACACCAGAGGCGAAGGCGGCGCACUGGACAGCAACUGACACUCAACUGCGAAAGCGUGGGGGAGCAAACAGG